rnacentral:rRNA from 1 species
CCUACGGGUGGCUGCAGUGGGGAAUAUUGGUCAAUGGGCGCAAGCCUGACCCAGCCACGCCGCGUGAAGGAAGAAGGCUUUCCGGUUGUAAACUUCUUUUGUCAGGGAAGAGUAGAAGACGGUACCUGCCGAAUAAGCCACGGCUAACUACGUGCCAGCAGCCGCGGUAAUACGUAGGUGGCAAGCGUUAUCCGGAUUUACUGGGUUUAAAGGGCGUGUAGAUGGGUUGUCAAGUCAGAUGUGAAAUCCUGCGGCUUAACCGCAGAACUGCAUUUGAAACUGUUGAUCUUGAGUACUGGAGAGGCAGACGGAAGUCGUAGUGUAGCGGUGAAAUGCGUAGAUAUUAGGAGGAACACCAGUGGCGAAGGCAGUCUGCUGGACAGCAACUGACGGUGAGGCGCGAAAGCGUGGGGAGCAAACAGGAUUAGAUACCCGAGUAGUC